UGGGGUUUUAUUGUUUACAAGGUUUACAAUGUUUCUGAGAUUGAUGUCACAGUAGCUGAGUUUGAAUUCCUUUUACCAUCAACUCAACAUUUAUCUAGCUCUCCUCUCUGUCAAGUACUGGAUGUGCUCAAUAAAGCUGAGCCCUGACCCAUGAAGAAUUUACAGUCUAGCAGCAGGGAAAAGCCAAUCUAAUCCAGGAUGAUUUAUGGCAAAGGCUCUGAAGUCAGUAAAAUAAAGAGCUAUUGACUAUAGGAGAGGGCAUGAAUUGGGCUGAUGGGUUAUGCAUGAGAUGAGAAUCUCAAAAGCAUUGUGAAAUAAGCAAUGUUUAACCUUGUGCCUCUGGAGUGGGCCAGAAUCCUUCAAGGUCAAACCUUAGAAGGGAAUUCAUUCCCUCAGUGUUCUAGGGCAUGGGAGACACAACCUUAAUGGGAAGCUUUAGGAAGUUGUCUUAAUUUGAAUUUAUCCCCAAAAAGUAGAUCCUGAGAUGAGAAUUUGGAUAUGGUAUGGGUUUUUAUGUUUCGUUUUAAGAGAUGACUGUAGAAAGCAUGAGGAAGAUAGGAAUUGUAAGACAGGAAUUUAAAAAAUAGCCAGUAAAUGGAACACAAAUUAAUAUGUUGUUGCUAAGGACAACAGGGGUCUGAAAACAUGGUAAUCUUCUAAGGCAUUCUGUGACAUGCGCCUUAGAAUCAUUCCAUGAUAAGGAGAAGAGGCUGGGAUAUUAUCUACCAACUCCCACUCUCCAUUGGUUCAGAAUUUUUCUGACUUUCAGGUGCACUUUGAGGUAUGGCCAAGCUACCUCCCAGGUCAUGAAGAAGGUUCUCAGGAAGUGGGACCUUCAAGUAUUGUAAAUUCUCAAGAGAACCAAGGUGCUAUUAGAGAUUCAAGUCUAUCUAAAUUCAUAGCUAAAAAGAAGGAGGAAGAGGAGGAGAAGAAAAAGAAGGAGAACAAGAAGAAAGACAAAGCCUGUCUUUGGCGCCCAGCUCCAACCAAAGGCAGCAGUGAGAGGUUUGUUACAGGGACAAAAACCCACCCUCACAGCCAAGUGACCCUCCUCUCAAUAGCCUAUCCUGCUGUCACUGAAAUUCCCAUUGCUGCACUGCUCCUCAAAAUAAAACUCAGCUGUAAAUUGAACACCUGUUCUGGAUUAGUUACAAUAAAUCAGGGGCUAUUUCAGUUACAUAGACA
rnacentral:lncRNA from 1 species